rnacentral:rRNA from 1 species
CCUACGGGAGGCAGCAGUCGAGAGGCAUCGGCAAUGGGGGAAACCCUGACCGUGCGACGCCGCGUGGGGGAUGAAGGCCUUCGGGUUGUAAACUCCUGUCAGUUGGGAAGAACGGCUAUUCGGUUAAUAUCCGAGUAGUUUGACGGUACCAGCAGAGGAAGCUCCGGCUAACUCCGUGCCAGCAGCCGCGGUAAU